UGUUAAUUUAAAUGAGAAAAAUAAGGACAGUGAAAAACAGAGCGCUUAAAAAGCACUGUCUGGAUAUCUUCAGAGGGAAAAAGGAGAAAGUUAACUGAAUUGGUGACACUUCGGGUCUCUCACAGAGGAAGACCUAUUAGAGUGCUAAGGAGAAGACAAGUUAUUAGCACCCAAAAGAAGCACCAGUGCGGAUGGAAAUACAAGGUUGACAUUCGCUGAGCUGUGUUUUUUUUUUCCAGGGAAAUGGUUAUUCUUGAUAUUUUGAGCAAACUCUUCUUCUCUGAUCAGUGCCCAGAACAAGGAAACAGACCUUCUCUUUCCAGUACCUCCUAUCUAUCUAGAUAAUACGGAAGCCAGGGAGAAGAAUGGGAACCCAAGAUCUAUGAGCCCUUAUGGCAUAUGAAAAGUGGGUGUUAUCUGAAAAGUAGAACUCUAGAUGAAACCAGGCCUUUCCCAACAAUGGAGCCCAGGACAAUGCUGUCUUCAAUGUCCAUACCAUUAGACUUGUUAUAGAUGAGUUUCUAUAAUGAUGGCUUUCUGGUUAAUUAAACCUUCUGAAUGAUUCUGUGUAACACUGACUUCUGUGAUUCAUCACAGAACAAGUCUUCCUUCUUUCAUGGAGUAUUACUGUUUUCAGUGACUAUAUUUGGUUGUUUACUCUUUUUGGCACCAAUCACCCAGUGAAUCAACAACCAGAGUUGCAAACAAAUUACCCUCAUUGUCUUUUCCGAGUCCCUUAAUUUACUUUAUUUUUCAUUUGUUGCAAAUGUCAUUGUUUCUGCUAAUGUUGUUUUUUAACAUCUGCCAAGAUAAAAAAUAAAAAAAUCACUUGUAA
rnacentral:lncRNA from 1 species